CAUUAUACAAUGAUCAAAUAUUUAUAGGAUUAAGAUGGGCAUGCGUGACAUUAGUUAGUUGGCGGGGUAACGGCCCACCWMGACCACGAUGUCUAGGGSAUCUGAGAGGAUGACCCCCCACACUGGUACUGAGACACGGACCAGACUCCUACGGGASRCAGCAGUAAGGAAUAUUGGUCAAUGGAGGCAACUCUGAACCAGCCAUGCCGCGUGCAGGAAGACAGCCCUCUGGGUCGUAAACUGCUUUUAUUCGGGAAUAAACCUCAUUACGUGUARUGAGCUGAAUGUACCGAAGGAAUAAGGAUCGGCUAACUCCGUGCCAGCAGCCGCGGUAAUACGGAGGAUCCAAGCGUUAUCCGGAUUUAUUGGGUUUAAAGGGUGCGUAGGCGGCUUUUUAAGUCAGGGGUGAAAGACGGUGGCUCAACCAUCGCAGUGCCCUUGAUACUGAAGAGCUUGAAUACAUUAGAGGUAGGCGGAAUGUGACAAGUAGCGGUGAAAUGCAUAGAUAUGUCACAGAACACCGAUUGCGAAGGCAGCUUACUAUGAUGAGAUUGACGCUGAGGCACGAAAGCGUGGGGAUCAAACAGGAUUAGAUACCCUGGUAGUCCACGCCCUAAACGAUGAAUACUCGCUGUUAGCGAUACACAGUUAGCGGCUAAGCGAAAGCGUUAAGUAUUCCACCU
rnacentral:rRNA from 1 species